rnacentral:rRNA from 1 species
AGAGUUUGAUCCUGGCUCAGGACGAACGCUGGCGGCGUGCUUAACACAUGCAAGUCGAACGGAGGUUGCGGAGUAGUAAUACAAAGCAACUUUAGUGGCGGACGGGUGAGUAACACGUGGGUAACCUGCCCUAUGGAGGGGGAUAACACAAAGAAAUUUGUGCUAAUACCGCAUAAUGCGCAAGUGCCGCAUGGCACAUGCUCCAAAGAUUAUAUUGCCAUAGGAUGGACCCGCGGCCCAUUAGCUAGUUGGUGAGGUAACGGCUCACCAAGGCGACGAUGGGUAGCCGAUCUGAGAGGAUGAACGGCCACAUUGGAACUGAGACACGGUCCAGACUCCUACGGGAGGCAGCAGUGGGGAAUAUUGCACAAUGGGGGAAACCCUGAUGCAGCAACGCCGCGUGAGCGACGAAGGCCUUCGGGUUGUAAAGCUCUGUCUUAGCUGACGAAAAAUGACGGUAAGCUAGGAGGAAGCCACGGCUAACUACGUGCCAGCAGCCGCGGUAAUACGUAGGUGGCAAGCGUUGUCCGGAAUUACUGGGCGUAAAGGGAGCGUAGGCGGUCUUUUAAGUGGGAUGUGAAAUACCCGGGCUCAACCUGGGAAUUGCAUUUCAAACUGGGAGACUAGAGUGCAGGAGAGGAAAGUGGAAUUCCAAGUGUAGCGGUGAAAUGCGUAGAGAUUUGGAGGAACACCAGUGGCGAAGGCGACUUUCUGGACUGUAACUGACGCUGAGGCUCGAGAGCGUGGGGAGCAAACAGGAUUAGAUACCCUGGUAGUCCACGCUGUAAACGAUGAAUACUAGGUGUAGGGGGCGAAGCCCUCUGUGCCGCAGUUAACACAUUAAGUAUUCCGCCUGGGGAGUACGAUCGCAAGAUUAAAACUCAAAGGAAUUGACGG